GGCCGCGUCGACGAACGAAGCACCUGAACGGAUUUCUUCGGAUUGAAGUUCUUGUGACUGAGUGGCGGACGGGUGAGUAACGCGUGGGUAACCUGCCUCAUACAGGGGGAUAACAGUUAGAAAUGACUGCUAAUACCGCAUAAGCGCACAGCUUCGCAUGAAGCAGUGUGAAAAACUCCGGUGGUAUGAGAUGGACCCGCGUUCAGAUUAGCUAGUUGGCAGGGUAACGGCUACCAAGGCGACGAUCUGUAGCCGACCUGAGAGGGUGACCGGCCACGAUUGGGACUGAGACACGGCCCAAACGUCCUACGGGAGGCAGCGAGUGGGGAAUAGUUGCGACAAUGGGGAAGCUGGAACCAGGCCAAGUGCGUGAAGGAUGAAGGUUCUAUGGAUUGUAAACUUCGUUUAUACGGGUAAUAACGGGUUCUCGAACGGUGUGGGAACUGGUGCGAGUGUACCGUAUGAAUAGCAUCGGUCUAACGUCGUGCCAGCAGCCGUGGUAAUACGGAGGAUGGCGAGCGUUAUCCGGUAUUUAGUGGGUUUAAAGGNUCCGG
rnacentral:rRNA from 1 species